rnacentral:rRNA from 2 species
GCGAGCGCAGGCGGUUUUGUAAGUCUGCUGUGAAAGCCCUCAGCUAAUGAGGAAGUGCAGUGGAAACUACAAAACUUGAGUACAGAAGAGGAAAGUGGAACUCCAUGUGUAGCGGUGAAAUGCGUAGAUAUAUGGAAGAACACCAGUGGCGAAGGCGGCUUUCUGGUCUGUUACUGACGCUGAGGCUCGAAAGCAUGGGUAGCGAACAGGAUUAGAUACCCUGGUAGUCCAUGCCGUAAACGAUGAAUACUAGGUGUUGGAGGGUUUCCGCCCUUCAGUGCCGCAGCUAACGCAUUAAGUAUUCCGCCUGGGGAGUACGACCGCAAGGUUGAAACUCAAAGGAAUUGACGGGGGCCCGCACAAGUGGUGGAGCAUGUGGUUUAAUUCCAUGCUACACAAAUAACCUUACCAGCUCUUGACAUCUUCUGCCAACCCAAGAAAUUGGGCGUUCCCUUCAGGGACAGAAUGACAGGUGGUGCAUGGUUGUCGUCAGCUCGUGUCGUGAGAUGUUGGGUUAAGUCCCGCAACGAGCGCAACCCUUAUUAUUAGUUGCCAGCAGUUAGUUGGGCACUCUAGUGAAACUGCCGGUGAUAAACCGGAGGAGGGAGGGGACAACCUCCCAUCACCAUGCCCCUUAUGAUUUGGGCUACGGACGUCCUACGAU